rnacentral:rRNA from 1 species
UACGUAGGGAGCGAGCGUUGUCCGGAAUUCUGGGUGUAAAGGGUGCGUAGGCGGCCUUGUGGGUCAGGCGUGAAACUACAUGGGCUUAACCCAUGGACUGCGCUUGAAACGUAUAAGGCUUGAGUGAAGUAGAGGCAGGUGGAAUUCCCGGUGUAGCGGUGAAAUGCGUAGAUAUACGGAGGAACACCAGUGGCGAAGGCGGAUUGCUGGACAGUAACUGACGCUGAGGCGCGAAAGCGUGGGGAGCAAACAGG